GCCCACGAGGGAAGUGAGGCUCGCAGAGGUGAACUGAAUUGUCCACGGUUACACAAGCUUGGAGCAGACCUGUGAUCCUCAGGCUGCCAACGCCUCCUCCAUCACUGCCGUGGCAGGCAUCACUAAUCGAUCAUGACCCUCUUUCAGACUGACUCCAGCCCUUGUCCUGCGGUCUUUCCCAGCACGGCAUUCUGGGAGGCCAUACAACCCGUCAGAAUUCGUGGAUUAAGUGUGCCCUUCCUGCUACCGCCUAAUAGGUAUUUAAGGAAGUGGUCAGCUUGCCCUCAUCAACCUUCAUAAGCCUCUUCAUCCAGACUGUACGUGUUCACGUCCAUCACGAGUCCAUGUGGCAGGUCUGGGACCAAAUCUCUGCAUCCUCAGUGAGAGAACAUGAUCGUCACACUGUCAGGAAAGCUGACGCAUCAAGAAUAGAAGGGCGAGCUUCUGCUUCUGCGCACGAGGGGGUAAUAGCUGGCGACAGACCGUCUCUCCCACGGACAGCAGCACGGGAGCUGAGGUCACAUGCAAACCCUCUGCUUUUGAACCAAAGUACAGGAAUCUAAAUGCAUCCUUAUCCUAUUUUUAUUUAUGUAUUUGCUUUGAGAGAGACAGAGUGUGAGCGAGG